rnacentral:rRNA from 1 species
UACGAAGGGGGCUAGCGUUGUUCGGAAUCACUGGCGUAAAGCGCACGUAGGCGGAUUUUUAAGUCAGGGGUGAAAUCCCGAGGCUCAACCUCGGAACUGCCUUUGAUACUGGAGAUCUUGAGUCCGGAAGAGGUAAGUGGAACUGCGAGUGUAGAGGUGAAAUUCGUAGAUAUUCGCAAGAACACCAGUGGCGAAGGCGGACUUACUGGUCCGGAACUGACGCUGAGG